GACGAACCGUGCGAACGUUGUUCGGAUUCACUGGGCUUAAAGGGCGCGUAGGCGGACGGUCAAGUCAGGGGUGAAAUCUUUCAGCUCAACUGGAAAAGUGCCUCUGAUACUGAUCGUCUCGAGGGAGGUAGGGGCAUGUGGAACUUCCGGUGGAGCGGUGAAAUGCGUAGAUAUCGGAAGGAACGCCGGUGGCGAAAGCGACGUGCUGGACCCCUUCUGACGCUGAGGUGCGAAAGCGUGGGGAGCAAACAGG
rnacentral:rRNA from 1 species